UACGUAGGGGGCAAGCGUUGUCCGGAUUUAUUGGGCGUAAAGAGCGUGUAGGCGGCUAGGUAGGUGGGUUGUGAAAACUGGAGGCUCAACCUUCAGACGUCGACCCAAACCCCCUGGCUAGAGUCCGGAAGAGGAGAGUGGAAUUCCAGGUGUAGCGGUGAAAGUGCGUAGAUAUCUGGAGGACACCGGUGGCGAAGGCGGCAUCCUGGACCAAUACUGACGCUGAAUAGCGAAAGCCAGGGAGCAACGGG
rnacentral:rRNA from 1 species